UGCCUACAGAAGACCUUUUGUAGUUAAUGCUGAGAUUAGAUUUAUGGUUGAAGUUACAAAUUCCUCUAAAUCAAAUACUACUUCAUAUGAAUAUCGGUUUAAAUUUGACCAAUUUCCACAGCUUGAUAAAACCAUCGUAUCAACUUGGCCAACAGGAUUUCACGCAGUAAAAUUUGCUUCAACUUGUGAACUGAAAGGUGGCAACUAUACAGUACAAGUUGACGUAUGGAAAUUUCAACUCGGUUUCCCGACUCAUUCGAUAGGAACUAUUCUUUAUACCUUGGAGGUUACAGACUGUAACUGGAUCGGCCAAUCUAACGAUGGUCCUGCUACGCUUGGUACACAAAUCACCUUUAUAGCUUACAAUUGGUAUCGAAUGGACUAUGGCCCACCAUUUGAAUACCGUUUCAAAUUUGAACAAUUUCCUGAACAUGAUAAAAGCAUUGUCUCAACUAAAGGAGAAGUUGAAUACAUAAUAACAUUUGGAAUCAUCUUCAACACUUAAACCUGGCAACUAUAACGUGCAAGUUGAUGUUUGGGAUCUCGGUGUCCCUUCUUAUUCGUUAGGAACUGCUAAUUCAACCUUCCAGCUCACAGAUUCACUUAUUGGAUUCAUAAAACUAGACCAAGAAUUUCAUUUUUGUACUGGGAUUGAAAGUUCGAGCGAGAAUACUGUUUUCAAUAAAAAGCCUACCAAACUGAUUGCUGAUAUUCGUGAUCCAUCUGGGUAUUUCACUGGACGAUGUGGAAUUCACCCAUUCAAUAUAACAUAUAAAUGGACUGUUAAUGGUGAAGUUCAAGAGGAAAGUUCUAAGGUUAUUGAACAUACUUUUUCCCAGCUUCAACUGAACAACGUUUCAGUGAUUGUUACAGCAACUAAAACCAAUGGAAGUCGUCUUAUACAAAAAUCUGGUACAUUCAACCUUACAUUGGAAAGCAAAGCUGCAGACACUAAUGGAUGGCAUUUCCCUGACUGCGAUUGAAUC